AGCUCAAUUGGUAGAGCACUGGUUUCCAAAACCAGCGGUUGCGGGUUCGAGUCCCUCC
rnacentral:tRNA from 1 species